rnacentral:tRNA from 1 species
GCCAGUGUGGUGUAGUGGUUUGAGCAUCAGACUCAGACUCUAGAGACCAGGGUUCAAAUCCUGGCUGGGCCA